UACGGGGGGGGCAAGCGUUGUUCGGAAUUACUGGGCGUAAGGGGCUCGUAGGCGGCCAACUAAGUCAGACGUGAAAUCCCUCGGCUUAACCGGGGAACUGCGUCUGAUACUGGAUGGCUUGAGUUUGGGAGAGGGAUGCGGAAUUCCAGGUGUAGCGGUGAAAUGCGUAGAUAUCUGGAGGAACACCAACGGCGAAGGCAGCUCGCUGGGACGGUACUGACGCUGAGGCGCGAAAGCGUGGGGAGCGAACAGG
rnacentral:rRNA from 1 species